rnacentral:rRNA from 1 species
AACGAACGCUGGCGGCAUGCCUAACACAUGCAAGUCGAACGAGACCUUCGGGUCUAGUGGCGCACGGGUGCGUAACGAGUGGGAACCUGCCCUUAGGUUAGGAAUAACUCCCCGAAAGGGGUGCUAAUACCGGAUAAUGUCUUAGGACCAAAGAUUUAUCGCUUUUGGAUGGGCCCGCGUUGGAUUAGCUAGUUGGUAGGGUAAAAGCCUACCAAGGCGACGUUGCAUAGCUGGUCUGGGAGGAUGAUCAGCCACACUGGGACUGAGACACGGCCCAGACUCCGACGGGAGGCAGCAGUGGGGAAUAUUAGACAAUGGGCGAAAGCCUGAUCCAGCAAUGCCGCGUGAGUGAUGAAGGCCUUAGGGUUGUAAAGCUCUUUUACCCGGGAUGAUAAUGACAGUACCGGGAGAAUAAGCUCCGGCUAACUCCGUG